CAAGGUGGGUUGUCCUAUUGUCGUUGGUGGUGUGGUCAUGAAAGGGAUUGCCUAUCGGGUGCUUGCCUAUCAGAAGAUGUGAUGGGGGUAAUGGCCAUGUGCUGCUCUGUUCAUUAGUGCAGAUGCGUGUGCACUUGUGGUGAGCACUCUGGUUGUGGUAACUGGGAACUGCCUGCAAGAGCAGAUAACCAUGUAGAAAUAAAUGGUUUGUUGCGUACGUGUCUUGAUCCGUUGUGUGUCAUGGACCAGUGGUUUUGACUUGAUGUAAUUGUGUCUAAGCGUACUUCUUCCUGGUAAUGGUGUUGGUGCACUUGGUUUGAUGAAGAAUGUUUUUUUGAGCCUUGGUUUGAUGAAGAAUGUUUUUUUGAGCCUUGGUUUGAUGAAGAAUGUUGUGUUUGCUUUCAACUUUUGUUUGUGCUUGUGAAAGUACUGAUUGUGAGGUUCUCCGUUUGCACGCUGUUCAGGGGUCUGGUUUAUGUACUGUGGACUUGGCCACUUUGCUUUUUGUAGCGGCAACUUUGUCAAUUUUCCACAUACUGGUCAAGUUUGUAAGCUUUUGACAGUGAAGCGAUAAGCUGGAACUGUUGUGCCUGAUGAUGUCCAACUUAUCCAUACAAUUUUGAG
rnacentral:lncRNA from 1 species